rnacentral:rRNA from 1 species
CACGUGUGCAACCUGCCUUUAUCUGGGGGAUAGCCUUUCGAAAGGAAGAUUAAUACCCCAUAAUAUAAGAAACGGCAUCGUUUUUUAUUGAAAACUCCGGUGGAUAGAGAUGGGCACGCGCAAGAUUAGAUAGUUGGUGAGGUAACGGCUCACCAAGUCUACGAUCUUUAGGGGGCCUGAGAGGGUGAUCCCCCACACUGGUACUGAGACACGGACCAGACUCCUACGGGAGGCAGCAGUGAGGAAUAUUGGACAAUGGGUGAGAGCCUGAUCCAGCCAUCCCGCGUGAAGGACGACUGCCCUAUGGGUUGUAAACUUCUUUUGUAUAGGGAUAAACCUACCCUCGUGAGGGUAGCUGAAGGUACUAUACGAAUAAGCACCGGCUAACUCCGUGCCAGCAGCCGCGGUAAUACGGAGGGUGCAAGCGUUAUCCGGAUUUAUUGGGUUUAAAGGGUCCGUAGGCGGAUUUGUAAGUCAGUGGUGAAAUCUCACAGCUUAACUGUGAAACUGCCAUUGAUACUGCAAGUCUUGAGUGUUGUUGAAGUAGCUGGAAUAAGUAGUGUAGCGGUGAAAUGCAUAGAUAUUACUUAGAACACCAAUUGCGAAGGCAGGUUACUAAGCAACAACUGACGC